rnacentral:rRNA from 1 species
UACAGCCUGCGGGACGCAGCAGUGAGGAAUAUUGGUCAAUGGUCGGGAGACUGAACCAGCCAUGCCGCGUGAGGGAGGAAGGUACAGAGUAUCGUAAACUUCUUUCGUCAGGGAACAAAGGCGGGGACGUGUCCCCGGAUGAGUGUACCUGAAGAAAAAGCAUCGGCUAACUCCGUGCCAGCAGCCGCGGUAAUACGGAGGAUGCGAGCGUUAUCCGGAUUUAUUGGGUUUUAAGGGUGCGCAGGCGGUCUGUUAAGUCAGCGGUCAAAGCCCGGGGCCCAACCCCGGCCCGCCGUUUGAACUGG